CCCUCUUAUUUCUCCAUCUCUCAUCUCUCUCUGCCUUAUCCUCUCUCGCUGAAGAAACCGGGCGUGGAUAGGAUUCCGAGCGGCGGGGCGCCAUUGACGCGGAGCGCGAGGAGCUCCGUGGUGUGCCGGCUGCCACCGCCGCCGCAGAGCGCGCGGGCUCCGCUUGCCGCUUUCCUCACGCGGCCGUUGUUUUUCAUGCUUGCUUGCUUGGAGUUCGGCACCGCUGCUCCGCGCGGGAGACGGCCGUGGGAGCUAGCCCCGUGGGGCGAGCAACUCUACCCGGCGGCAAGCGGGUCCACUCGGCGGCGAGCAACGGCGAGCGGAUCCGCGUGGCUGGCGCCGCGCGGCCGGCGAGAAGCUCUGCGCGGGAGCCGGCCGUGGGAGCUAGCCCCCGUGGGGCGAGCAGCUCUACCCAGCGGCGAGCGGGUCCACCUGGUGGCGUGGCCGGCGAGGAGCUCCGUGGCGGGCGAGCAACUCUCGGCCGUGAAGUGUGGGCGGCCGCCGAGGAGUCCCAGUGGGCGAGCGAGAAGCCGCCGCCAUGGAUGAUUUUUUUUCUUUUUUUCUUAUUUUUCUGAAAUAGAGAUGCACGUGGAAUUGUAUGAAUUAAUUGUAUCUAUCUUGUGAUCGAUUCUUUGAAUGAUUUGCGAAAUCUAUGGAUUAUAUCUAUAUUUUGUGGUUGAUU